rnacentral:rRNA from 1 species
UGAGACUAAGCAUGCAUGUGCAAGUUCAAACGUAAUAUCGUGAGACUGCGAAGGCUCAGUAUAUCAGUGAUUAUCUGUUUGAUUGUCUAACCUAUGGAUAACCGUGGGAAAUCUAGAGCUAAUACAUGCAGCCAAUGGCCGGGCUUGCUCGGCCAAGCAUUUAUUAGUUUUAACCAAUUACUGUGCAAACGGUAAGGUGAAUCUAGAUAACUUUGCUGAUCGCAUGGCUUUGCCAGCGACGUUUCAAUUGAGUUUCUGCCCUAUCAAUUUGUUGGUAAGGUAUUGGCUUACCAAGGUUGUAACGGGUAACGGGGAAUCAGGGUUCGAUUCCGGAGAGGGAGCUUGAGAAUCGGCUACCACAUCCAAGGAAGGCAGCAGGCGCGCAAAUUACCAAAUCUAGACAGUAGGAGGUGGUGAAGAGAAGUACUAAGUGGUGGUUUUUUACUACCAGCUUGGAAUGGACGUAAUUUAAGCAAUUCGAUGAGUAACUACUGGAGGGCAAGUCCUGGUGCCAGCAGCCGCGGUAAUUCCAGCUCCAGUGGCGUGAUUUAAAGUUGCUGCGUUUAAAACGCUCGUAGUUGGAUCAAGCGGUAGCAGUUUGUAGUUCAUGGCUUGCAUUUGGCUGAUUCAGUCGAUGCGGGUCGUGGAUGAAAACGCAAACUGCUACUAUUUAAUCGCAAGUAUGUUGAUUGACCUUUACUGAGUUGAUCAUUAUAUUUUGCGGAGUUGUGCCUUGAAUAAAACAGAGUGCUCAAAGCAGGCGAACGCUUGAAUGUUGUAGCAUGGAACGAACAAACGUGUAUACGCACAUGUCGUGCGAAGUGAGUGCGCUUCUGGUGCAUUCGCUUUGUUGAUGUGUGCAUCACCCGCCAAAAUGCGAUUGUUGGUUAUCGUAUUAGGUGAUGAUUAA